GAUGAACGCUAGCGGCAGGCCUAACACAUGCAAGUCGAGGGAGAAGCCCUUCGGGGCAGAAACCGGCGCACGGGUGCGUAACGCGUAUGCAACCUACCUUUCACAGGGGGAUAGCCUGAAGAAAUUUGGAUUAAUACCCCAUAAUAUUAUUGGGUGGCAUCAUUUGAUAAUUAAAAUUACGAUGGUGAAAGAUGGGCAUGCGUCCUAUUAGCUAGUUGGAGUGGUAACGGCACCCCAAGGCUACGAUAGGUAGGGGUCCUGAGAGGGAGAUCCCCCACACUGGUACUGAGACAGGGACCAGACUCCUACGGGAGGCAGCAGUGAGGAAUAUUGGUCAAUGGUCGGAAGACUGAACCAGCCAUGCCGCGUGCAGGAAGAAUGCCUUAUGGGUUGUAAACUGCUUUUGUAUGGGAAGAAUAAGGAGUACGUGUACUUUGAUGACGGUACCAUAUGAAUAAGCAUCGGCA
rnacentral:rRNA from 1 species